GAGGGGAGACCUUGAGAGAAAGGGGUUACUGCCAAACAGGGCACCGGGUCUGGGAGGGACACAGUUGUCAGAGGACAGGCAGAUCACUGCCCUGCAGAGGGUGCCUAGAGCUGGAACAAGCUAAUUCCCAGAAGUCACCAGCAGGAGGCGCCGCAGGGGAUGCAUCACACCCAGUCUGCACGGAGAGAGACAUGAGUCUCCACCCCAAGAGUGGAGAUAUCUGGAAAGCCUGAAACCUUAAGUGGGUGCCCUCAAUGAAGAGGGAUCGAAGGAAAGAGGGUGUGGGUGUAACAUCUACAUCUUGACAAAGAAACAGCUUGGGGUUCCCAUCCACACAGACUUUCUUUCUCCUGAACCUCACCUGGUUCUCAGAGGAGAAGAAACUAUAAGACGGGAGAGCAGAUGCCCCAAAUUCUCUCUCCUUCUCUCUACCCAUGACAUUGACAACACUUGAAGAAC